rnacentral:rRNA from 1 species
AUUGAACGCUGGCGGCAUGCCUAACACAUGCAAGUCGAACGGCAGCACGGCAGUAGCAAUACUGUGGGUGGCGAGUGGCGGACGGGUGAGGAAUACGUCGGAAUCUGCCCAGUCGUGGGGGAUAACUAGCCGAAAGGUUAGCUAAUACCGCAUACGACCGAGAGGUGAAAGCGGGGGACCGCAAGGCCUCGCGCGAUUGGAUGAGCCGACGUCGGAUUAGCUAGUUGGAGGGGUAAAGGCCCACCAAGGCGACGAUCCGUAGCUGGUCUGAGAGGAUGAUCAGCCACACUGGAACUGAGACACGGUCCAGACUCCUACGGGAGGCAGCAGUGGGGAAUAUUGGACAACGGCGCAAGCCUGAUCCAGCAAUGCCGCGUGUGUGAAGAAGGCCUGG